CCAGAGGCCGGUACUGAAGAGGAGGCUGGCCCGUGUCCUCAGGGACACUACUGCCCCAGGGGUUCAGCCGUGCCCCAACCCUGCCCACCUGGCACCUUCAGCGCACGCAUCAAGCUCAGCUCAGAGUUUCUUCUGCCCGGCGAACACCUCCUCUGUGGUAGGGAACGAGUG